rnacentral:rRNA from 1 species
AAAUUGAAAGUCGGCUUCGCCUGUCAUUUAUGGAUGGUUCCGCGUCGCACUAGCUAGUUGGUGAGGUAACGACUCACCAAGGCAUCGCUGCGUACCCGACCUGAGAGGGUGAUCGGCCACACUGGGCCUGAGACACGUCCCAGACUCCUACGGGAGGCAGCAGUAGGGAAUCUUCCGCAAUGGACGAAAGUCUGACGGAGCAACGCCGCGUGAGUGAUGAAGGCUUUCGGGUCGUAAAACUCUGUUGUUAGGGAAGAACAAGUGCUAGUUGAAUAAGCUGGCACCUUGACGGUACCUAACCAGAAAGCCACGGCUAAUUCCGUGCCAGCACCCGCGGUAAUACGUAGGUGGCGAUCCUUAUCCGGAAUUAUUGGGCGUAAACCUCGCGCAGGUGGUUUGUUAAGUCUGAUGUGACAGCCCGCGGCUCCACCGUGGAGGGUCAUUGGAACCUGGGAGCCUUGAGUACAGAAGAGGAAAGUGGAAUUCCAUGUGUAGCGGUGAAAUUCGUAGAGAUAUGGAGGAACACCAGUGGCGAAGGCGACUUUCUGGUCUGUAACUGACAUUGAGGCGCGAAAGCGUGGGGAGCAAACAGGAUUAGAUACCCUGGUAGUCCACGCCGUAAACGAUGAGUGCUAAGUGUUAGAGGGUUUCCACCCUUUAGUGCUGAAGCAAACGCAUUAAUCACUCCCCCUGGGGA